AAUGCAAAAGAGAGCCAAAUUUAUCCCCCAUGUUUCUCCUGUGUUUUUUGUGAAGAAACAUCCAAGCAUGCCUUUUUGUACUGUCCUUUUGCAAGAUCAAUUUGGAAUUUGGCUGUUCACUAGGGGUACUUGUUCCACAGACUCAAGAUUUGUCUAUGGAUCAGUGGCUUCUUCAGCUUGGACAACAGGUUGUUCACUCUCAUGCUAUAGGAGUUCAGUCGUCUAUGUUUCUUUUGGACAUCUACUUUUAUCAUGAUACAUUACUCGCCACCAUAUGCCACAUCCAGAUAGAUGGUAGUUGGUUCAACUAGAGAUAUAGUGCAGGUAUCCGGGUUUGGAACAGUAUUUCUGCCUCUCUUUCCAGUUUUAGUAAUAAAGGCAUUGGGAUGGCUACUUUCACUUUGUCUGCAUUGCAUGUUGAGGCGUUAGCACUCCAACAUAGCUUUAUUUGUGCUCUCCAUAUCACUGUGAAUGGAUCAAAUGUGAAAAUGAUGCCACUUACAACACUAUUAUUCGGGGAUGUUUUCAAAAUAAGAUGAAUAAUGAAGCAAGUUUACUCGUAAAAAAAAUGG
rnacentral:lncRNA from 1 species